AGCGAACGCUGGCGGCAGGCUUAACACAUGCAAGUCGAACGCUCGUGGCAACACGGGAGUGGCAGACGGGUGAGUAACGCGUGGGAACAUGCCCUUUGGUUCGGAAUAACUCAGGGAAACUUGAGCUAAUACCGGAUAAGCCCGAGAGGGGAAAGAUUUAUCGCCGAAGGAUUGGCCCGCGUCCGAUUAGCUAGUUGGUGAGGUAACGGCUCACCAAGGCGACGAUCGGUAGCUGGUCUGAGAGGAUGAUCAGCCACACUGGGACUGAGACACGGCCCAGACUCCUACGGGAGGCAGCAGUGGGGAAUAUUGGACAAUGGGGGCAACCCUGAUCCAGCCAUGCCGCGUGAGUGAUGAAGGCCUUAGGGUUGUAAAGCUCUUUCGGCGGGGACGAUAAUGACGGUACCCGCAGAAGAAGCCCCGGCUAACUUCGUGCCAGCAGCCGCGGUAAUACGAAGGGGGCUAGCGUUGCUCGGAAUCACUG
rnacentral:rRNA from 1 species